AGCGAACGCUGGCGGCAUGCUUAACACAUGCAAGUCGCACGGUCAGCAAUGGCAGUGGCGGACGGGUGAGUAACACGUAGGAAUCUAUCCUUGAAUGGGGGGACAACCGUGGGAAACUACGGCUAAUACCGCAUGAUGCCUGAGGGCCAAAGACGAAAGUCGUUUGAGGAGGAGCCUGCGUCUGAUUAGGUAGUUGGUGGGGUAAAGGCCUACCAAGCCUACGAUCAGUAGCUGGUCUAAGAGGAUGAUCAGCCACAUUGGGACUGAGACACGGCCCAAACUCCUACGGGAGGCAGCAGUGGGGAAUAUUGGACAAUGGGCGCAAGCCUGAUCCAGCAAUGCCGCGUGUGGGAAGAAGGCCUUCGGGUUGUAAACCACUUUUGGCGGGAAAGAAAUGGUCUGUGCUAAUACCACGGAUUGAUGACGGUACCCGCAGAAUAAGCACCGGCUAACUUCGUG
rnacentral:rRNA from 1 species